AAUCAAAAUCCCCGUCUCAACGGCGUAACAGUAAAUCUAUUCUCUCUCUCUCUCUCCCUAUCCCUUCGCUUCCGUUUCCAUUAUCUUCUCUCUCUUCUCUCAGACAUACACAGUCCCUCUCUCUCUCUCUCUCUAGUAACUAACCUCCUCCUCGCUGACUCCUCUCAACCGCCAAUGUCACCUCCCUCGGCGGUUAACCACCGCGAGAUCGACCCUAAGAUCUGGCGCGCCUGCGCGGGAGCCUCCGUCCAGAUCCCCGCGCUCUUCUCUCGCGUCUACUACUUCCCGCAAGGACACGUGGAGCACUGCUGCCCUUCCUCAACCAUCUCCUCCGCCUCCGCCGUCGCGGCUUCUCCGAUCCCCUGCGUCGUCUCCUCGAUCAGCCUCCUCGCGGAUCCGGUCACCGACGAGGUCUUCGCUCACCUCUCGCUUCACCCCGUGUCUCACGAUCAGUUCCUUCCCCCUCAUCCUCAUCCUCAUCCUCCCUCUUCUCGAUUCGGGAGAUUCCUCGAAGAGGAAGAGGAGAGCAGCGGCGAGGAGAAGGUCGUCACGUUCGCGAAGGUCCUCACGGCUUCCGACGCCAAUAACGGGGGAGGAUUCUCCGUCCCGCGAUACUGCGCGGACUCCGUCUUCCCUCCCCUCGAUUUCCAGGCCGAUCCUCCCGUCCAGAAGCUCUUCAUCACCGACGUUCACGGCGUCGUCUGGGACUUCCGUCACAUCUACCGAGGUACUCCCAGGAGGCACUUGCUAACCACGGGGUGGAGCAAGUUCGUCAACAACAAGAAGCUCAUCUGCGGAGAUUCCGUCGUUUUCAUGAGGAAGUCUGUUCACGAGAUGUUUAUAGGCGUGAGGAGAGCUCCGAGCUCUAACAAAUCCGGAGGAGGAAGCUACUACGGCGGUGGCGGCGGUGGUGGCGUUACCGGGGAUGAGUACUUCCCCGGUUACAACUACUACGGAGGCGGAGGAGUUAAGAAGGAAGACGUUGGUGGAGGCGAGAAGAAGUGGUUUAGGAGAGAUGGGAACGGGAAGCUGACGGAGGAGGCGGUUACGGAGGCGAUCGGGAAAGCCUCGCAGGGCUUACCGUUCGAGGUCGUGUAUUACCCGACGGCGGGGUGGUCUGACUUCGUGGUGAGAGCCGAAGACGUAGAGGCCUCGGUGAGUGUCUACUGGGCUCCUGGGACUAGAGUCAAGAUGGCGAUGGAGACGGAGGAUUCCUCGAGGAUCACUUGGUUUCAAGGCGUCGUCUCCGCUUCGUUUCAGGAGACGUGGAAACAGCUUCAGAUCACAUGGGAUGAGCCUGAGAUUCUGCAGAACUUGAAGAGGGUGAAUCCUUGGCAAGUGGAGGUCGUUGUGAACUCGUCGACUCAGCUUCACGCUACUUACCUUCCUCCAACAAAGAGGACGAAGUAUCCUUCAUCGAGUGGGUUCUUUGGUGGAGGAGAGGAAGGAGAGAUGAUCUAUUCGGGAAGAGGAGGACAAGCGAUGGAUCCAAGUCACUAUGGGUACACUACUUACACUACAGUUCCUGCUGGCAUGCAGGGAGCCAGGCAUUAUGAAUUUGGGUCUUACAACAACAACAACAACUCAACCGGAUUCAUCGGAGAGAACGCUCACCCUGAGUUCAUCAACUUCUUUAGUCCUCUUCCCGGUUUGGGAAGAGUCUCGACGUCUCUGAUGGUGAACUUUGGCGGCAGUCCUCCGCCGUCGGAUGACUUGUCGCCUAAUAGCAACACCACUAAUGUUUCCUCUGGAAACGACGCAGGUGGGAACAACCGAGGCGUUAGCUUUCAGCUGUUUGGGAAGGUGAUAAACGUGCAGGAGCCUGCCGAGAGCGGUGGUGUGGCUGAGUCUAGCUUGUGUGAAGACGAUGGAAGCAAAGAGUCCAGUGACAAUGAGGCCCAGUUGGUGCAGGGUCAUGGAGGAAGGUGAAGCGUCUAGGGGUGCCUAUAAAGAUUCCAGCAGAGACACAGAGGUAAUAGCUGCAAAGGUGAAGGGAAUGAAGGAAUGUUUGGAAUCUGUACGUCCCAAGUAGCAGUGGUUGGUUGGUAACAUAAAAAAAAGUAUCUUAUGGUUUUUCUUUCUUUGCAUUUUGACUUUCUCUGGAAGAUUUUAUGUUUUGCCACGUGGCAAACUGUGUAUUUGACCCAUUUCUGAGACACAUUCUGGAUUGAACAUCUCGCUCUUUCCUAAUCGUUUAUUGCUUUA